UGAGGGCGCCACGGCACUUCAUGGUCGUGUGGGUAAUUUUCCACGGUUCUUCAGUCUCCACUGUUGUGUCUGCGGUGAAAGCAACAUGAAAACAACGCGCACAUUCCAGAGCUUCACGCUCGAGCCCACCGCAUGAAAGAGGCACAGGCCGCCGGCAGCUGCCCUGGAGCUGCGCAGAGGCGGGACUGGGCGCAAGGGGUCAAGCGCGACCGCGGGCUGCACAAGAGUGUGGGAAAAUGUCACAGAACUAUUUAUAUAAACUACGAGAAACUCAGACAAACGAGGUAAUGAUAUGAUAAUUAAGCUGAAAAUGUAAUUUAUAGUUGUAAAUCUAGGCUUACUGCAGUAAACUCUCCCCUCUCCUCCACCCCUUCUACUCUCCCUCUGUAUAUUCUAUCUUGGACACCUUUGACAGUCCCCCCCCCCCUCUCUCUUUCUCUCUCCCUCUGCUUUUCACACACAUGCACUCCAUUAUCUUGUUGAAUGCGGUCGGUGUUUCGGAGUGUUACCAAGCGGGACAAUGAAAACCGAAAGCAGGCUCGUGCAGUGGAUAUGUUGGCUCAUCGUUAUAACGUCGUUUUUCCUGACCGGGUUUAUAAUAGGCUGGUUUGCAAGGCCCACCAGCACAGACACAAGCCAUGAUGCAGGGUCCAGACGUCACCUGAGAGAGUUUCUGGAUGAGAUGCGACCAGAGAACAUCAGAGAUCAUCUGAGGAAGUUCACCCGGUUACCCCACCUGGCCGGUACAGAGCAGAACCUCAAAUUGGCUGAACAGAUAAAAGGGGAGUGGCUAGCGUAUGGUCUGGACUCAGUAGAGAUGGUACCUUAUGAUGUGCUGCUGUCAUACCCCAACAUAUCACAGCCCAACUACAUCUCUAUAGUAGACCAGCUGGGCAACGAGAUGUUCAACACUUCUCUAUCAGAGCCGGUUCCUGAGGGAUAUGAGAAUGUCUCUGACAUCGUUCCUCCCUACAGCGCCUUCUCAGCGCAGGGACAACCAGUGGGUGACCUGGUUUAUGUGAACUAUGGGCGUACAGAGGACUUCUUCCAGCUGGAGAGAGAGAUGGGGAUCAACGUCACUGGGAAGAUUGUCAUAGUCAGAUAUGGAAAUAUCUUCAGAGGAAACAAGGUGAAGAAUGCGAUGCUUCAUGGGGCGAGUGGUAUAAUCAUGUUCUCGGACCCUGCAGAUUACUGCGCCCCAGGAGUUCAGCCAUACCCCGACGGGUGGAACCUUCCAGGUGGAGGGGCACAGAGGGGUAAUGUCCUCAACCUGAAUGGGGCAGGAGACCCCCUCACGCCAGGGUACCCUGCUAAAGAAUACACUUACAGGUACAACCUGGAGGAAGGGGUGGGGCUUCCUAAAAUUCCAGUGCAUCCUAUUGGCUAUCAUGAUGCCAUCCAACUACUAAAGAAUAUGGGAGGAGACAUCCCACCCAAUAACUGGAAGGGAGCGUUAAACGUGUCCUAUCGGAUUGGACCGGGCUUCACUGACGGCUUCAGUACACAGAAGGUGCGUAUGAACAUCCACACCAACAACCAGGUGACCCGGAUAUACAACGUCAUCGGGAGGUUACGAGGGGCCGUGGAGCCAGACCGCUAUGUGAUCCUGGGGGGCCACCGGGAUGCCUGGGUGUUCGGGGGGAUCGACCCGGUAACGGGAGCAGCCGUGGUGCACGAGAGUGUAAGGAGCGCCGGGAAACUGCUCAGAAAAGGCUGGAGGCCCAGGAGGACCAUAGUAUUUGCCAGUUGGGAUGCAGAGGAGUUUGGACUGCUGGGAUCAACAGAGUGGGCUGAGGAAAACGCCAAAGUGCUGCAGCAGAGAGCAGUGGCUUACAUCAAUGCAGACUCAGCGAUAGAGGGUAUGUACACAUUGAGGAUAGACUGCACUCCCUCUCUCCACACCUUGGUGUACGACAUCACCAAACAGGUGUCCAGUCCAGAGGAGGGAGAGGAGGGGUUGUCUCUGUAUGAGAGCUGGCACAAGCGCGACAACUGGACAGAUGACCGCGAUGCACCCCGGAUCAGUAAGCUGGGUUCAGGCAGUGACUUUGAGGCGUAUUUUAUCCGACUGGGCAUCGCAGCAGGCAGGGCCCGAUACACCAAGAACAGGAAGACAGAGCGGUACAGCAGCUACCCAGUGUAUCACAGUGUGUAUGAGACCUUUGAGUUGGUGGAGAGGUUCUACGACCCUUCCUUCCGGAAGCUCAGAGCCGUAGCUCAGGUCAGGGGAGGCCUCAUCUUCCUAUUGGCUGAUUCACAGCUCCUCCCCCUGGAUGCCAAUCAAUACGCUGGCUCUCUGACAAAGUACGCCCACACCAUCGCUCAGCUGGGACAGAAACACCCAGAUGCUCUUGUGAAAUACGGGGUAUCAUUCGGUAAGAGAAAACACACACACGUUUACAUACAAAGACACUCAUUCUGAAUCCCCCAUCACCUACAAAGUCUAAUUUGUUUUUGUCCAGAUUCUCUGUUCUCUGCGGUGGAGAACUUCACUGUGGCUGCUAGGGACUUCCAUGAGCGUCUCAACACUCUGGACAGGACAGAGUAAGAGCGCGUGUGUGUGUGUGUGUGCUUUCUAGCGUGUCUUCAUAGGUUGUGGAAGUGUGUUAACAGGUGUGUUCCCCCUACUCUCUCAGCCCUAUACAGAUACGUAUGGUCAAUGACCAGCUAAUGUACCUGGAGAGAGCCUUCGUGGACCCGCUAGGUUUACCUGGCCGACCGUUCUACAGACAUGUGAUCUUUGCUCCCAGCAGUCAUAAUA